UAUAGGGAAUUGGUUAUCUUCUUUCGUCUCGUGAGACCCCCUAGUGAUAUUUCGAACGAUCAAGCUUUAGCCGCUCUUAAGGUUGGAUCAAAGCCUUAGCCGCUCUUAAGUCCGAACACCCACGAACACAUACAAGCGACGGACAGUGGGAAGCAUAGAGGGCAAUCGUACGAUUGCACAGUUAAGCUAUGCUGUGCAUUAGACGAUCGUUUUAUGCUGCUGCGAAUGUUCUGGAUCAUACGAUUGCACAGUUAGUAAAAAGCUCAAAAGCUCUGCUGCACUGGCUACUCAGUCCAUCGUCUAUUACUGCUUUGAACAAUAUAAGAAAGUUGAUCGAUCUGUAAAGACGUGAUAAUUUCCGAGUGCGAGCAACAUACAUAUUGCACACACAUAUAUAUAGUGCUAUCCGGAAAAUAUAUAUAUUUCCACAAAUAUAUGCUGGAAGCAUAUAGUUACAAGUGCCGUACAGUUCAGUGGUCAGUGAAUGACAAGAAUUUAGUGCAGAUAUAUUUGGAAAAAGAGGGAGGUGUACCUAAGCUGCCCCAUCGCGGUAUAGUCUCGAGAAGACUACCCUGGGAGCUGGCUUAGGCGAACAGUUGUCGAGGUUUCUCCAACUCCAACCAUAAUUCAUCGUUUCUGGACCUUAUAUUGCCACC